CCAUCAUUAAAGGAAUCAGUGGGCGACACUCAACAAGAGGCCAUUGAUUGUAGGUAGUUGGGGUUGGUUGCUUGGCCAUGUUUAGUGAUUAAUAAUUGUGUAAUAAAAUCCUUUAUUUGAUCUGUGUUGGGUGAUAUUGUGUCUGAGGUUUAGCGCCACCUUGUGGUCACACUGUGAAUGCACUCUAUCUUUCUUUGAGGUUUGAUGCCACCUUGUGGUCACACUGUAUCUUAUACUGAGGUUUAGCGCCACCUUGUGGUCACAAUGUGAAUGUACUGAAUCUUUCUUUGAGGUUUGAUGCCACCUUGUGGUCACACUGUAUCUUAUACUGAGGUUUAGUGCCACCUUGUGGUCACACAGUAAAUGCACUUUGUCUUACACUGAGGUUAGAUGCCAAAUCGUGGUUUAGCGCCACCUUGUGGUCACACUGUAUCUUACACUGAGGUUUAGUGCCACCUUGUGGUCACACAGUAAAUGCACUUUGUCUUACACUGAGGUUAGAUGCCAAAUCGUGGUUUAGCGCCACCUUGUGGUCACACUGUAUCUUACACUGAGGUUUAGUGCCACCUUGUGGUCACACAGUAAAUGCACUUUGUCUUACACUGAGGUUUAGCGCCACCUUGUGGUCACACUGUAUCUUAUACUGAGGUUUAGCACCACCUUGUGGUCACACUGUAUCUUAUACUGAGGUUUAGCGCCACCUUGUGGUCACAAUGUGAAUGUACUGUAUCUUACACUGAGGUUUAGCACCACCUUGUGGUUUAGCGCCACCUUGUGGUCACACUGUAUCUUACACUGAGGUUUAGCGCCACCUUGUGGUCACACUGUAUCUCAUACUGAGGUUUAGCGCCACCUUGUGGUCACACUGUGAAUGCACUGUAUCUU